rnacentral:rRNA from 1 species
UGCCCAGACUCCUACGGGAGGCAGCAGUGAGGAAUAUUGGUCAAUGGCCGAGAGGCUGAACCAGCCAAGUCGCGUGAGGGAUGACGGCCCUACGGGUUGUAAACCUCUUUUGUCGGGGAGCAAAGAGAGUCACGUGUGGCUCAUUGAGAGUACCCGAAGAAAAAGCAUCGGCUAACUCCGUGCCAGCAGCCGCGGUAAUACGGAGGAUGCGAGCGUUAUCCGGAUUUAUUGGGUUUAAAGGGUGCGUAGGCGGAAUAUCAAGUCAGCGGUAAAAAUUCGGGGCUCAACCCCGUCGUGCCGUUGAAACUGGGGAUCUAGAGUGUGCGAGAGGUAUGCGGAAUGCGUGGUGUAGCGGUGAAAUGCAUAGAUAUCACGCAGAACCCCGAUUGCGAAGGCAGCAUACCGGUGCACAACUGACGCUCAGGCACGAAAGCGUGGGUAUCGAACAGGAUUAGAUACCCCAGUA